rnacentral:rRNA from 1 species
CCUACGGGUGGCAGCAGUGGGGAAUAUUGGACAAUGGGCGAAAGCCUGAUCCAGCCAUGCCGCGUGUGUGAAGAAGGCCUUCGGGUUGUAAAGCACUUUCAGUGGGGAAGAAAGCCUUGGGGCUAAUACCCUCGAGGAAGGACAUCACCCACAGAAGAAGCACCGGCUAACUCCGUGCCAGCAGCCGCGGUAAUACGGAGGGUGCGAGCGUUAAUCGGAAUUACUGGGCGUAAAGCGCGCGUAGGCGGUCUGAUAAGCCGGUUGUGAAAGCCCCGGGCUCAACCUGGGAACGGCAUCCGGAACUGUCAGGCUAGAGUGCAGGAGAGGAAAGUAGAAUUCCCGGUGUAGCGGUGAAAUGCGUAGAGAUCGGGAGGAAUACCAGUGGCGAAGGCGGCCUUCUGGACUGACACUGACGCUGAGGUGCGAAAGCGUGGGGAGCAAACAGGAUUAGAUACCCCGGUAGUC